rnacentral:rRNA from 1 species
CCUACGGGGGGCAGCAGUAGGGAAUAUUGCUCAAUGGGGGAAACCCUGAAGCAGCAACGCCGCGUGGAGGAUGAAGGUUUUCGGAUUGUAAACUCCUUUUGUUAGAGAAGAUAAUGACGGUAUCUAACGAAUAAGCACCGGCUAACUCCGUGCCAGCAGCCGCGGUAAUACGGAGGGUGCAAGCGUUACUCGGAAUCACUGGGCGUAAAGAGCGCGUAGGCGGGAUAGCAAGUCAGAUGUGAAAUCCUAUGGCUUAACCAUAGAACUGCAUUUGAAACUGUUAUUCUAGAGUAUGGGAGGGGAGGUGGAAAUUCUGGGUGUGGGGGUAAAAGCGGAGGG